AAAGGAAUAGACGGGGGCCCGCACAAGCGGUGGAGCAUGUGGUUUAAUUCGACGCAACGCGAAGAACCUUACCAAGGCUUGACAUCCUCAGAAUCCUGUGGAAACACGGGAGUGCCCUUUUUGGGAGCUGAGAGACAGGUGGUGCAUGGUUGUCGUCAGCUCGUGUCGUGAGAUGUUGGGUUAAGUCCCGCAACGAGCGCAACCCCUAUAUUCAGUUGCCAGCACUUAGGGUGGGAACUCUGGAUAGACUGCCGGUGACAAACCGGAGGAAGGUGGGGAUGACGUCAAAUCAUCAUGCCCCUUAUGUCUUGGGCUACACACGUGCUACAAUGGACGGUACAGACGGCAGCGAAGCCGCAAGGUGAAGCAAAUCCGAGAAAGCCGUUCUCAGUUCGGAUUGCAGGCUGCAACUCGCCUGCAUGAAGUAGGAAUCGCUAGUAAUCGCAGGUCAGCACACUGCGGUGAAUACGUUCCCGGGCCUUGUACACACCGCCCGU
rnacentral:rRNA from 1 species